GGGGGCUCCCAAGCCUCUCAGGGCGUCUGGCAUCUCUUGAGUGAAAUAUGGCUACGCUAAUGUCUCCUGCUGCAGGCUGCUGGGACAGCUCAGGCCCUGGGCUCAGCGCUAGGCACUUAGCUGUAUGUGUAGCCCAGGUUCAGUUUGUCUUGUGACUAUAAGAGCUCACAGUAGGACAGUGCCUGAAGCAAAAAUCUCGUGUCCCUUCCCUUUCACUAUGUUCUUCCCAGUCUCCUCCUCAUGGGUGUCCUGGUACAUUCUCACAUAUGGAUGGGAUUGGCAAUCUAUAGGGUGCUGCAGCUAUGC
rnacentral:lncRNA from 1 species